rnacentral:tRNA from 1 species
UCCUGGUUAGCUCAAUUGGUAAAGCGCUUCACUGGAAAUGGAGAGGCCCCUAGUUCAAUACCAGGACUAGGAU